rnacentral:pre_miRNA from 1 species
CAUAUACUCCCGCCGUUCGAAAAUACUUGUCAUGCGAAUAGAUGUAUGUAGAUGUAUUUUAGUUUUAGAUACAUCCAUUUUUAUCUAUUUCUUCAACAAGUAUUUUUGGACGGAUUAAGUAUAAA